UACAGAGGUCUCAAGCGUUGUUCGGAUUCAUUGGGCGUAAAGGGUGCGUAGGUGGCGGGGUAAGUCAGGUGUGAAAUUUCGGAGCUCAACUCCGAAACUGCAUUUGAUACUGCCUUGCUUGAGGACUGGAGAGGAGACUGGAAUUCACGGUGUAGCAGUGAAAUGCGUAGAUAUCGUGAGGAAGACCAGUGGCGAAGGCGGGUCUCUGGACAGUUCCUGACACUGAGGCACGAAGGCCAGGGGAGCAAACGGG
rnacentral:rRNA from 1 species